CCUACGGGAGGCAGCAGUGGGGAAUAUUGCACAAUGGGGGAAACCCUGAUGCAGCGACGCCGCGUGAGUGAAGAAGUAAUUCGUUACGUAAAGCUCUAUCAGCAGGGAAGAAACACUGACCUUACGGUCAGCAGACGGUACCUGAGUAAGAAGCCCCGGCUAACUACGUGCCAGCAGCCGCGGUAAUACGUAGGGGGCAAGCGGUAGCCGGAUUUACUGGGUGUAAAGGGGGCGUAGACGGUGCGCCAAGUCUGGAGGGAAAUGCCGCAGCUUAACUGCGGACCUGCUUUGGAAACUGUCGAACUAGAGUGCGGGAGGGGUAAGCGGAAUUCCUAGUGUAGCGGUGAAAUGCGUAGAUAUUAGGAGGAACACCGGUGGCGAAGGCGGCUUACUGGACCGUAACUGACGUUGAGGCUCGAAAGCGUGGGGAGCAAACAGGAUUAGAUACCCUGGUAGUC
rnacentral:rRNA from 1 species